UGGGGACUAGCUCAGUUGGUAGAGUGCCUGCCUUGCAAGCACAUGUUCCUGGGUUCAAACCCCAGCACCAA
rnacentral:tRNA from 1 species